rnacentral:rRNA from 1 species
GACGAACGCUGGCGGCGUGCUUAACACAUGCAAGUCGAACGGAAAGGCCCUGCUUUUGUGGGGUGCUCGAGUGGCGAACGGGUGAGUAACCCGUGAGUAACCUGCCCUUGACUUUGGGAUAACUUCAGGAAACUGGGGCUAAUACCGGAUAGGAGCUCCUGCUGCAUGGUGGGGGUUGGAAAUUUUCGGCGGUUGGGGAUGGACUCGCGGCUUAUCAGCUUGUUGGUUGGGGAGUGGCUUACCAAGGCGUUGACGGGUAGCCGGCAUGAGAGGGGGACCGGCCACAUUGGGACUGAGGUACGGCCCAGACUCGUACGGGAGGCAGCAGUGGGGAAUAUUGCACAAUGGGCGGAAGCCUGAUGCAGCAACGUCGCGUGCGGGAUGACGGCCUUCGGGUUGUAAACCGCUUUCGCCUGUGACGAAGCGUGAGUGACGGUAAUGGGUAAAGAAGCACCGGCUAACUACGUG